rnacentral:rRNA from 1 species
UACGUAGGGGGCUAGCGUUGUCCGGAAUCAUUGGGCGUAAAGCGCGCGUAGGCGGCCCGGUAAGUCCGUUGUGAAAGUCAAAGGCUCAACCUUUGAAAGCCGAUGGAUACUGCCCGGGCUAGAGUCCGGAAGAGGCGAGUGGAAUUCCUGGUGUAGCGGUGAAAUGCGUAGAUAUCUGGAGGAAUACCGGUGGCGAAGGCGGCAUCCUGGACCGGCAUUGACGCUGAACAGCGAAAGCUAGGGGAGCAAACGGG